AUGGAGACAGGGAUGAGUUGGAUUUUCCUUAUUGCAAUUUUAAAAGGUGUCCAGUGUGAGGUGCAGCUGGUGGAGUCUGGGGGGGGGGGCUUGGUCCAGCCUGGAGGGUCUCUGAGACUCUCCUGUGUGGCCUCUGGAUUCACCAUCAGCGACUACUACAUGGACUGGGUCCACCAGGCUCCAGGAAAGGGGCUGGAGUGGGUUAGUUUCAUUAGAAACAAAGCUAAUAGUCACAGCACAGAAUAUGCUGCAUCUGUGAAAGGCAGAUUCACCAUCUCAAGUGAAGAUUCCAAAAGCACUGUCUAUCUGCAAAUGGACAGCGUGAAGUCCGAGGACACAGCCAUGUAUUACUGUGGGCAGGCUGUCAGUAAGAAUCUGGCCUUCACAUAUUGGGCACGAGGGGUGACAAUCGGCUCUGCAUCCCAAGAUUUAUGGCUCAUGGAUCUAGAAAUCAGUGGUGAGAGUUGCUGCUACCAGCAGAGACAGAUAGGAGCCACCUUGACCCAUGCAGAGUGUGGGAGUUUCUUCUGUUGCAUUCACCAUGGUCUAGAGCAACUGCAUCAAACACCUGACAGUGCCCAAGUCACCAACGUCAAUGGACACUUAGUGAUCAAGGCCUCGGCCAUCCCACCAGCCAAGCAAUACGAAAUCAUCACCAACACCGAAGUACUGGCCAUGACUUAG